GUCCACGCCGUAAACGAUGAAUGCUAGAUGUUGGGGGGCCUAGCUCCUCAGUGUCGCAGCUAACGCGAUAAGCAUUCCGCCUGGGGAGUACGGCCGCAAGGUUAAAACUCAAAGGAAUUGACGGGGGCCCCGCACAAGCGGUGGAGCAUGUGGUUUAAUUCGACGCAACGCGAAGAACCUUACCAGCUCUUGACAUGGGGGUUAUGGGUCCCGGAGACGGGACCCUUCGGUUCGGCCGGGCCCCACACAGGUGCUGCAUGGCUGUCGU
rnacentral:rRNA from 1 species